AGAGUUUGAUCCUGGCUCAGAACGAACGCUGGCGGCAGGCUUAACACAUGCAAGUCGAACGAGAACCUGGGGCUUGCUCCAGGGGACAGUGGCAGACGGGUGAGUAACGCGUGGGAAGCUACCUAGUGGUACGGGAUAACGUUUGGAAACGAACGCUAAUACCGAAUACGCCCUUCGGGGGAAAGAUUUAUCGCCAUUAGAUGUGCCCGCGUUAGAUUAGCUUGUUGGUGAGGUAAAAGCUCACCAAGGCUCCGAUCUAUAGCUGGUCUGAGAGGAUGAUCAGCCACACUGGGACUGAGACACGGCCCAGACUCCUACGGGAGGCAGCAGUGGGGAAUAUUGCACAAUGGGGGCAACCCUGAUCCAGCAAUGCCGCGUGUGUGAAGAAGGCCUGCGGGUUGUAAAGCACUUUCAGUAGAGAAGAAAAGCCCACGGCUAAUACCCGUGAGUCUUGACGUUACCUACAGAAGAAGCUCCGGCUAACUCCGUGCCAGCAGCCGCGGUAAUACGGAGGGAGCGAGCGUUAAUCGGAAUUACUGGGCGUAAAGCGCGCGUAAGCGGCUUUGUAAGUCGGAUGUGAAAGCCCUGGGCUCCACCUGGGAAUGGCAUUCGAUACUGCAGAGCUAGAGUAUGGUAGAGGGAAGUGGAAUUUCCCGUGUAGCCGUGAAAUGCGUAAAUAUCGGAAAGGAACACCAGGGG
rnacentral:rRNA from 1 species